rnacentral:rRNA from 1 species
GUCCUUUUGAAUUUAAUUUAAGGUUUGACCUGCCCACUGAUUUAUAUUUGAAGGGCCGCAGUAAUUUGACUGUGCAAAGGUAGCAUAAUCAUUAGUUUUUUAAUUAAAAGCUUGUAUGAAGGGUUGGACGAGGUAAAUUCUGUCUUUAUUUAAUUUAUUAUAGAAUUUAAUUUUUAAGUUAAAAAGCUUAAAUUUGAUUAAAAGACGAGAAGACCCUAUAGAUCUUUAUAUUAUUUUUAUUAAUCUUAAUUAAGAUUAUUUAAUUUUUUAAUAAAUUUAAUAUUUUAUUGGGGUAAUAAAAAGAUUAGAUUAAUUCUUUUUUAAAAUUUACAUUAAUAAAUGAGUUUAUGAUCCAAUAUUAUUGAUUAAAAGAUUAAGUUACCUUAGGGAUAACAGCGUAAUAUUUUUAGAGAGUUCAUAUCGAUAAAAAAGUUUGCGACCUCGAUGUUGGAUUAAAAAUUAUUUUAGGUGUAGAAGCUUAAAAUUUUGGUCUGUUCGACCAUUAAAUUUUUACAUGAUCUGAGUUCAGACCGGCGUAAGCCAGGUCGGUUUCUAUCUUUAAUAAAUUUUAAUAUUUUAGUACGAAAGGACCAGAUAUUAGAUAUUUAUAUAUUUAAUAAUUUUGAAUAU